GCACAAGCGGUGGAGCAUGUGUUUAAUUCGAAGCAACGCGAAGAACCUUACCAGGUCUUGACAUCCCGAUGCUAUUUCUAGAGAUAGAAAGUUACUUCGGUACAUCGGUGACAGGUGGUGCAUGGUUGUCGUCAGCUCGUGUCGUGAGAUGUUGGGUUAAGUCCCGCAACGAGCGCAACCCCUAUUGUUAGUUGCCAUCAUUCAGUUGGGCACUCUAGCGAGACUGCCGGUAAUAAACCGGAGGAAGGUGGGGAUGACGUUAAAUCAUCAUGCCCCUUAUGACCUGGGCUACACACGUGCUACAAUGGUUGGUACAACGAGUUGCGAGUCGGUGACGGCGAGCUAAUCUCUUAAAGCCAAUCUCAGUUCGGAUUGUAGGCUGCAACUCGCCUACAUGAAGUCGGAAUCGCUAGUAAUCGCGGAUCAGCACGCCGCGGUGAAUACGUUCCCGGGCCUU
rnacentral:rRNA from 1 species